rnacentral:rRNA from 1 species
GACGAACGCUGGCGGCGUGCUUAACACAUGCAAGUCGAACGGUGAAGCGCCUUCCUUUUUGGUGGGUGUGGAUGAGUGGCGAACGGGUGAGUAACACGUGAGUAACCUGCCCCCUUCUUCUGGAUAACCGCAUGAAAGUGUGGCUAAUACGGGAUAUUCUGGGUCUGUCGCAUGAUGGGUCUGGGAAAGAUAUUGUUUCGGAGGGGGAUGGGCUCGCGGCCUAUCAGCUUGUUGGUGGGGUGAUGGCCUACCAAGGCGGUGACGGGUAGCCGGCCUGAGAGGGUGGACGGUCACACGGGGACUGAGACACGGCCCAGACUCCUACGGGAGGCAGCAGUGGGGAAUAUUGCACAAUGGGCGCAAGCCUGAUGCAGCGACGCCGCGUGAGGGAUGGAGGCCUUCGGGUUGUGAACCUCUUUCGCCAGUGAAGCAGGCCUGCCUCGUUUGUGGGUGGGUUGACGGUAGCGGGAUAAGAAGCGCCGGCUAACUACGUG